rnacentral:rRNA from 1 species
UACGUAGGUGGCAAGCGUUGUCCGGAUUUAUUGGGUUUAAAGGGUGCGUAGGCGGCUUUGUAAGUCAGUGGUGAAAUAUGGCAGCUCAACUGUCAGGGUGCCAUUGAUACUGCAGAGCUUGAGUACAGAUGAGGUAGGCGGAAUUGACGGUGUAGCGGUGAAAUGCUUAGAUAUCGUCAAGAACACCUAUAGCGAAGGCAGCUUACUAGGCUGUAACUGACGCUGAGGCACGGAAGUGUGGGGAUCAAACAGG